CCUACGGGUGGCAGCAGUGGGGAAUAUUGCACAAUGGGCGCAAGCCUGAUGCAGCGACGCCGCGUGAGUGAAGAAGUCAUUCUUGAUGGAAAGCUCUAUCAGCAGGGAAGAAAAUGACGGUACCUGAGUAAGAAGCCCCGUCUAACUACGUGCCAGCAGCCGCAGUACGACGGAGGGGGCAGGCGUUAUCCGGAUUUACUGGGUGUAAAGGGAGCGUAGACGGCAGUGCAAGUCUGGAGUGAAAGGUUGGGGCUCAACCCUCGGAAUGCUCUGGAAACUGGACGGCUGGAGUGCAGGAGAGGUAAGCGGAAGUCGUGGUGUAGCGGUGAAAUGCGUAGAUAUUAGGAGGAACACCGGUGGCGAAGGCGGCUUACUGGACUGUAACUGACGCUGAGGCUCGAAAGUGUGGGGAGCAAACAGGAUUAGAUACCCGAGUAGUC
rnacentral:rRNA from 1 species